UACAGAGGUGACAAACGUUGUCCGGAAUUAUUGGGCGUAAAGGGCGCGUAGGUGGUUGAGUAAGUCAGGUGUGAAAGCCCUGGGCUUAACCCAGGAAUUGCAUCUGAUACUGCUCGGCUUGAGUACGGUAGAGGAGGGUGGAAUUCCCAGUGUAGCGGUGAAAUGCGUAGAUAUUGGGAGGAACACCGGUGGCGAAGGCGGCCCUCUGGACCGAAACUGACACUGAAGCGCGAAAGCUAGGGGAGCAAACGGG
rnacentral:rRNA from 1 species